GCUGUUGAACUUGCCAUGCAACAAGUUAAAUCAUCACAGGUAUUAGCCACAGCUGGCCAAAUUUAUGUUUAGGAACAAUAUUCCUUUGAAUUUCUAUUGAUCUCCUCGUCUGUUUACUAGGCAAUCCAACUAUGAAUUCUGGUGUUGAAAUUCAUUUGUUUGCAGAAUUUUAUGCAUGGAUAGAAUGCAUCUGGAUUGUAGAGUUCUCUUUUAGAUUUUUAAAUCAUCAUGGUUUUUCGGAUUAAUCUCAUUGUGUAAUUGGUUCUUAUUUGGGCCCAUCCCAAUACUGUUGGUUUUUUCCAUCAAUAUGAUUCAGGAUAUUGGUGAUGUAGAAUGGUAUCGACAAUUGAGAAUGGCUAGAGAUAGUGCUAUUCUUGCUAGGCUAGUUGUCAAUGGCAUUGUACCUAAUCAAGUGAUUAAUUAUUUUUGGAUUAAACUUUGUUCAGAAAGAUGUUUUUGCAGCAAGGGAAUGAGUUCUUUGUAAACAGAGUGGAGAAUGUCUACUCUAAAUGGAGAAGAAAAUUGAAAGUUGUGCUUCAAGGGAAGAAAUGAUGUUAAAUUUACUAGUAGAUAAUGUAAUUUUUAACUGCAUCCUUAUUUGCACUUUAUGCUUUGUAUUUGGCAGGAAAGUCUUCCCCAGUCACAU
rnacentral:misc_RNA from 1 species